UCAUAAAUGGUGGGUCAGCCCAGGUGUUCUAGGGUAUCCCUACAACCCCAAGGGGUGGAGACAGGAACAGCAUAAAUAUACAACGGGAUGGUAGAUGUGGGUCUGCUGUGCCAGAAGAUGAAGAUGAAACAGCUGUAAGCUACUAGAAGCUGGGACAGCCACGUGACCCACGGCCUCUGGGUGUUUGCAGAGACAUCAGCGUUUACCCAGUCCCGAGUUAUGUGCCUUGGGUCCCAAGGGAGCUCACAUUAUGGUAGGAAAGCAAGCAGCACAAAUGUGGAAGACCCCUGCUUGGAUCCUGACUUGGCGCCCUUUGUGUUCUUUCAGAAGGACACGGGUGUUUCUGGGCCCAGAGUGCCUCUGCAGCAGAUACAGGCAUCUUGUUCUGCUGGCGUGAAGAUCCAAGAGCUGAUGCUCCAGGCAGACACCACCAGGGCACAUCUCUACUUCCACAGAUUCUUCAUUCUGAUGUGACAUGGAGGAAGAAAAUGUCUUUCAUAUCAAAAGCCAGUGUUUUAUCUAAAUAAACUUAGCUGUCAGUUCA
rnacentral:lncRNA from 1 species